CAAUCAGUGUUUAAUGGCACUUGAAAUCCAUUACCCACCUUGUGUGCAAUGUCGGGGAGGACCGCUUUUUUGUGGCUCCUCCUUUUAUCAUUCAACUCGCAGUUUUUCAUAUCAGUCUACAAGUAUCGAGUAUCAAAAAACUCUAAUA
rnacentral:misc_RNA from 1 species